AACGAACGCUGGCGGCAGGCUUAACACAUGCAAGUCGAGCGCAUCCUUCGGGGUUAGCGGCGGACGGGUGAGUAACGCGUGGGAACGUGCCCUCUUCUACGGAAUAGCCUCGGGAAACUGAGAGUAAUGCCGUAUACGCCCGCACGGGGAAAGAUUUAUCAGAGGAGGAUCGGCCCGCGUUGGAUUAGGUAGUUGGUGGGGUAACGGCCUACCAAGCCGACGAUCCAUAGCUGGUUUGAGAGGAUGAUCAGCCACACUGGGACUGAGACACGGCCCAGACUCCUACGGGAGGCAGCAGUGGGGAAUCUUGGACAAUGGGGGCAACCCUGAUCCAGCCAUGCCGCGUGAUCGAUGAAGGCCUUAGGGUUGUAAAGAUCUUUCAGCUGGGAAGAUAAUGACGGUACCAGCAGAAGAAGCCCCGGCUAACUCCGUG
rnacentral:rRNA from 1 species